rfam:Heligmosomoides polygyrus genome assembly, scaffold: HPBE_scaffold0000761
GCGCCGGUGGUGUAAUCGCGUAGAGCAUUCCCGCCCGGUCAGAGGGAGGUGCAGGUUCGAGUCCCGCCUGGCGCU